rnacentral:rRNA from 1 species
CCGCCUUAAGACGAACCGAUAAUAGUAGAGAUAGGUAGUAGUUAAGGUAAUGGCUUAACUAGCCCAUGAUUCUCUUAGUCGAAACUGAAAGGUUGAUCGACCACAUUGGGGAUGAAAAAAUCCCAAGGCAAGCGAGUACAGCAGUGGGGAAUAUUGGUCAAUGGCCUAACGGCUGAACUGGCAAUUUGGAGGAAUGGCCUAUCUUACACUGAAAUAGUAAGAAGUAGAGUGAAAUGGUUAAAUCGAAGUUCGAAUAAAAUUCUGAAUAUAUAUGUUAUAAUGACUGUAUAUAUUUAUGUCUUGACUAAUUACGUGCCAGCAGUCGCGGUAAUACGUAAGAGACUAGUGUUAUUCAUCUUUAAUAGGUUUAAAGGGUACUCAAACGGAAGAAAUUUGCCUGGAAAGGGACUGUUUCUAUCUAGAGUUUAAUGUAAGAAGGUAGUACCUGUGGUGUAGAGAUAAAAUUCGUUGAUACCUGUUAAAGGGACUGGUAAUGGCGUAGGCAACCUUUUAUGUAAAAACUGACGUUGAAGGACGAAGGCUAAGGGCACGAACAGGAUUAGACACCCUAGUAGUCUUAGCAGACAAUACUAAAUGCUAUGGAUUAGAUUAUAUUUAGUCUAUAAACGAAAGUGAAAGCAUUUCACCUCAAGAGUAAUGUGGCAACACAGGAACUGAAAUCACUAGACCGUUUCUGACAUCAGUAGUGAAGUAUGUUAUUUAAUUCGAUGAUCCACGAAAAACCUUACCACAAUUUGAAUUAUAAAUAUAUUAUACUUAGUGUAAUAUAUUUAUAACGAGUGUUGCACGGCUGUUUGCAGUUAAUGUUGUGAAACUGUGGCUUAAAAGCCACAAAAUUAACUUAAACCCUAGCUUUAUUUAUAAAAUAAAUUAAUAAAGUUAUUUUUAUCGUUACAUUGAUAAGAGAAUAGGGCCUAAGACAAGUCAUCAUGGCCUUUAUGUUGUGGGCUAUAGACGUGCCACAUAUACCUAGACAAAGAGAUGCAAGAAUGCGAAUUUAAGCUAAUCUCAAAAAUAGGAUAAAAAAGGAUAAGGAUUGUAGUC